GCUAUGUUGUUCGCACACAGAACACUUCAUUGUUGUUUUUGGGGGAAGGGGCAUAUGUCACUAAUAGAAUGUCUCCAAAACUGGAUUGAUGUGGAGAAAACACCUUUCCCUUCCAGUUUUGAGAGACUUCCUCUUGGCUCCCAGGAGGAGGGAUUCCUUGACUUUGACACACAUGGCCACCUUGGCACAAAAGCCUUGUGCUAUGGAAAAACAAAUUUGUUUUUAUGUCCUCUUCUCCCUUUCCACGUUUCAGCAUAGACUUAACUCCCUUAAGCCCAGACAUCUGUUGAGACCUGACCCCUAGUCAUUGGUUACCAGUGUGUCAGGCAAUCUGGACUUUCCAGUGAUGCCACUGAGAUGGCACCUGUCAAAAGAGCAGUGGUUCCAUUUCUAGAUUGUGGAUCUUCAGAUAAAUUCUGCCAUUUUCGUUUCACUUCCUGAAAGUCAGGGUUGGCUUGUGAAAAGUUGUUAAACAACAUGCUAAAUGUGAAAUGUCAACCCUCACUCUCAACUUUCCCUGUUCAGAGCAUCAGAUGAAGACUUCAUUGGGUUUUAUAGUGGCUUUCUGAUUUUUGGUAGUCCAUUGAAGAAGGGAGUUUGAAAGUUGUUGUAUACUGUUAACGAUUGUCUGCCCAUGUCCUGCCUGAAAUACCAUGAUUGUUUAUGGAAAGUAUCUUUAAUAAAGCUGGAUACAGUUUGGCUUGGAAAAAAAAAAAAGAAAGUAAAUAAAACAAGGAUCUGUAAGCAAAACGUAUUUGGCAUACAAAGCACUGCAGCCUCAAUACUUAUACUUACUAUCUUAUUAUAAAUGUCUGCAAUAACAACAGCUGAUAAUAUUAGCAAUGUUUUAUUACCCUUUUUAACUAUUUG
rnacentral:lncRNA from 10 species